GACUGUUGGGGUGAGGAGGUUGCGGUGGUGUGAUGUCCUGGCAAAGGCAAAUGUAGGGGAGCACCACCGGUUCAGUUGCACCAGAUGCAAAACUUCUGGGGCGCCACAGUAGGCACCUCAACUGACAUCCGACAGAAGGUGAGAGGCCGGGUGGGGGCAGAUUUUGGUGUUGCACGGGGCGCCACUGAAAUUUGAGACUGGUCCUGGAUCAUCACAACAGAGGGGAGGACCUGAACCAAAGGAUUCAAAUGACAAGAAAGGAGAUUCCAACCAAACAGUAGGAAGAACCUUCAGGAGGGGGCCAUACUUGAUGACCUUUGGAUUCCCUUCCAACUCUGCAGUUCUAUGAGUCUAACAUCACUGGCUGCCUCCAUUUCCAGGUGACAUAUCGGUAUCAUUGCCAGCUCUGUUCCCGACUGCUCGCUCUGGUGCACCAGUUCUCAAAGUGAGAAGAAUAAGACGUAUUUUAUUGAGCCUGUUUAUGAGGAGUCCAGUUCAUCACCACCCCUGAAUUCUACGAGACUUCUCCUUGCAACUAAAACUUGACAAAUGUCAUGUCCCCUUCUUCAGGAAAUUUGAGGCUGGCAGCUUUCUCCCUUUUCAGAAUGUUCCAAAACAGUUGCAAAACUGUCAGGUGGAAAUUGCCACAACAGAAAUCAUAUCGAGCAACAUUUUGACAAAACCUCUUUUUUAUUUUGCUCUAAAUUUUCUCUGCUGAUGGGAUUUCAACCCAGCUCACGUGAAUCAAGGUUUACUCGGAGCAUCGUCCGGGAGCCUCAACACUCACUCUUGUUUUGUGUGUCGGCAUAAAGAUAGAUAUAAUUUUGAAAAUUGCAGCGGAAAAAGAAAGACACAGAAAAUUACCUCUUUCAACAACGUUAAGCCAUUCUGUUCCAUUAAUAUAUUUCUGAACCUGAAUAUUGCAAAGGGAAAAGUACAUUAUCUCAGAGGACGAAGCAACCUGGUAAUGUAUUCUGGCCAUAAUGCGGUCUCAUUCAGGAUGCAAAAUGCAGGGUGUUGGAAAAUGUAAAAAAACCACAGAGACUUGCUUAAUGUGGGGUUUGAAAAACAACUAAAUCAGAUGGAUGCAUUAUCCGUAAACUUCCCAACCUGCCACUGGCUUAUGUUAAUUUCUUUUUUCUUUCUUUUAUUUUGAGGAAGGGUUCGCAAUGUUUAUUCUUCCUGUAAUUGAAAGCCCUUUUGGUCACAAGUCAUAUCACAGCCAUUAGUCACUGCAUUUCCUCAUUGGAGGAAUAUGUAAGCAAUGAGAAUGGCGAGUGGAGGGACCCCAGUGAGCAAGAUCCUGCACCACAUUGUCUUACCUAA